GCCGGAAUAGCUCAGUUGGUAAGAGCGUGUAGCCGUCAACCACAAGUUCGGAGGUUGGACCCACCUCCGGUG